rnacentral:miRNA from 1 species
CAGUUGAUCCAUCUUUCCAGCCCUUACAAAUUAUUUAUUAAAAAUUAUAAUUGACCAGGUUGGAGAGAUGGCUUAGCAGU